UGUCUGUUUGUUGUUCGUGUCUCAGAUGCGACGCGGCGUAGAUAAUGGGAUGACGCGGGCACGCGCCCCCGCAAAGGGGCGCCGCCGCUGCGCGGCCACAGGGGGAUAAAAAGGCGGAUUAUGCAGUGAUGAUCCUUCCGCAGGUUCACCUACGGAAA
rnacentral:misc_RNA from 1 species